CACAAUGCUCUGUAGGUGUCACUGGGAAUGUCUGAGAGGAGAGAAUGUAAGAAACCUUGUUGUAGCCACGCUGGUCUCUUGGGGGUACAUUUUCUGAGAGCCCUACGCCAGCAGGUAAGAAGCCUGGCUAUCUUGAGUCACAUGAAUGUUAGACCCCCUGGAACAAGCCACCUGCCUGCAGGACGGCAUUGUCCAAUUUCGGUGGAUCCCACACAGCAGAAAAAUCAUCCGAAAUUCUCAAAAGUCUCUGGCCCACAAAAUGAGAGAGCCCUGCUUUCACUUGCUUUAUUCUUCUGCAGUGAUAGAUAGCAGAACGCUGCGGCUAGGCAGGUUGUACUCUGUUCCCCUUCUCCAUCACUUGGUUCUACUUAGCAUAACCAGUCUUGGGAUGUGUGGUCCUCAGCGUUUGAAAUGAAUAUCAGAGACCACAUGGAAGUCAUUGGUCUCAAGAGUUUGACUUGGCAGGAUUCCUUGAACGUAUUUCUGGACUAUCCUGUUAAUUUAUGGUUCCUUGUUUAAUUUUGCGGUCAGACAGGACACAAGAAUCGCCAGUGUUCUAGAGUACAGGGCUUGCUGGAUUUCUCUUCAUGCAGAAACAACAAAGCAAUCUCUAAAGCUCCUGCUAGAAAUUGAAGCUCCCCAGUUAUCUGUGGGGGUAACUUUUCCAAGAGGCUUAAAUCCUGAAUCAAGAUUCACUUGGAGAACUCUUAUGGCUUAAAUAUGAAAGGCUUAUUCUUUGAAUAUUGGUCUCCAGCUGGCCGUACUGAAUCCGGGGGUUUGUGGAGAGUCGGAGGAGAGAUCUCCUUGGAGGAAGUAGAUCAAGGACCGUACACUCUUCAAGGUUGUACCUGGUCCCCAGUCCCUGUUUCCCCCUCUGCUUCCAGUCCUACGAAGUGAGCUACCACCUCCUCCGUAAGCUCCCAUUAUCAUUCCGCAAGUGUGUGGAGCUAACCACCCAUGCGCUGAGCCUUCUGAAUCAGGAGCCAACAUGGAGCUUUCUGUAGUGUUCCCUCAGGUAUUCUGGCCACAGAAAUGAAACACUAACCAAUUCAACUACCCAGACAUCCAGAGCAUUCAGAACUCUCUCUUCACUUCCCUCACGUCUCCACAGACUGGACCCCACCCCACAGGAUGGUAGAGCUCACAUGUAAGGUGUUUUGUCUGCAUGUCUGAGGCACGUUCAUGCCUCAGAGGCAGGGGUGGGGCAUCAGAUCCCCUGGAACUGGAGUUACAGAUGGUUAUAAGUCAAUAAGUGGAUGCUGAGACUUGAACCCAGGUCCUCUGAAAGAGCAGCCAGUCCCCCUAACUCCUGAGCCAUCUCUUCAGAUUACCCCCACCCUCUUAAUCCAGUCAAGAUGACAACCGAAAAGAACCAGGUUCCUCACCAGGUCACAACAAAUGGAGAAUACGUGUGUUGAAAGAUGUCCCAUCCCAUCUACCCCGUCAACAGAAAAUGACAAAUGAAAGCAAUGUACAGUAAUACCACAGGCCUGGCAGAGCAGACAACAGUAGAUGCUGGCCACAAUACCGAUUAAGGCGUUCUCGUUUAUUGUUAGAUGGAAUGAAAAAAUGGCGAUUCUACGGUGUAAGGAGAGAACCAACUCCUACAAGAGAUCUUAACCAGUUCCUGAAAGCUAUCCUCGGACCUCAGGUGUGCCUCAGAGUUCAGCACUUCUCUUCAUUCCACCCUACAGGGAAGCUCAUUAGGCAUCCGAAAGUUCUAAAAGGAGGCUCCUUGAGAUUCAGGAACUAAAGGACUCCCAAGUCUCAGGAAGUUCCUGGAACCGACCAGAACAUACACAAAGAAGACUCUUCUUUCUUCAAGAUUAUACAGCAGUAAAGAUUGCCGAGAGACUCUCCAAAUUGAGCUGCCUGGAAGGGUACAAACUCAUUGAGGUGCCCAGAAGAAGGACUAAGAUUAGUUGAGCUGCCUGGAAGACUUAUUCCCAAUCUGUCCAGCUGGCCCCAGGCUAUGCAAUGAGCUCAGCUUUUGUGAGUUGUUAUCUAUAUUGGGAUGGACGUUCAGUUCAAUUACCUUGGAGUAAUCAUGCUCUUUCAAGUAAUCCCCUACCCAUUUUCCUGUGAGUAACCCAAUAAAUCCAUUGUUUCACCAUGCUGGAA